GGAAUACAUGGGUAACCUGCCCCUGAGAAUGGAAUAACCUGCCGAAAGGUGGGCUAAUACCAUAUACGCUUCCUUAUCUUCGGGUGAGGAAGGAAAGCCGUACCGAGGGUACGGCACUCAAGGAUGGGCUCAUGUCCUAUCAGCUUGUUGGUAGGGUAACGGCCUACCAAGGCAACGACGGGUAGCUGGUCUGAGAGGAUGAUCAGCCACACUGGCACUGAGAUACGGGCCAGACUCCUACGGGAGGCAGCAGUGAGGAAUAUUGCGCAAUGGGCGAAAGCCUGACGCAGCGACGCCGCGUGGGGGAUGAAGGUUUUCGAAUUGUAAACCCCUUUCAGGAGGAAAGAUAAGGUGGAUUACCACCUGGACGGUACCUCCAGAAGAAGCCACGGCUAACUUCGUGCCAGCAGCCGCGGUAAUACGAAGGUGGCGAGCGUUGUUCGGAUUUACUGGGCGUAAAGAGCACGUAGGCGGUUAGGUAAGCCCUUUGGGAAAGCUCCCGGCUUAACCGGGAAAGGUCGAGGGGAACUACCUAGCUAGAGGGCGGGAGAGGAGCGCGGAAUUCCCGGUGUAGCGGUGAAAUGCGUAGAUAUCGGGAAGAAGCCGGUGGCGAAGGCGGCGCUCUGGAACGCACCUGACGCUGAGGUGCGAAAGCGUGGGGAGC
rnacentral:rRNA from 1 species